rnacentral:rRNA from 1 species
UACGUAGGGGGCAAGCGUUGUCCGGAUUUAUUGGGCGUAAAGAGCUCGUAGGCGGCUUGUCACGUCGGGUGUGAAAGACCGGGGCUUAACUCCGGUUCUGCAUUCGAUACGGGCUAGCUAGAGUGUGGUAGGGGAGAUCGGAAUUCCUGGUGUAGCGGUGAAAUGCGCAGAUAUCAGGAGGAACACCGGUGGCGAAGGCGGAUCUCUGGGCCAUUACUGACGCUGAGGAGCGAAAGCGUGGGGAGCGAACAGG